rnacentral:rRNA from 1 species
UACGGAGGGAGCUAGCGUUGUUCGGAAUUACUGGGCGUAAAGCGCGCGUAGGCGGUUUAUCAAGUCAGAGGUGAAAUCCCGGGGCUCAACCUUGGAACUGCCUUUGAAACUGCGGGUCUUGAGUUCGAGAGAGGUGAGUGGAAUUCCGAGUGUAGAGGUGAAAUUCGUAGAUAUUCGGAGGAACACCAGUGGCGAAGGCGGCUCACUGGCUCGAUACUGACGCUGAGGUGCGGAAGCGUGGGGAGCAAACAGG